GAUGAACGCUGGCGGCGUGCCUAAUACAUGCAAGUCGAGCGAACGGGCGAGAAGCUUGCUUCUCUGAUGUUAGCGGCGGACGGGUGAGUAACACGUGGAUAACCUACCUAUAAGACUGGGAUAACUUCGGGAAACCGGAGCUAAUACCGGAUAAUAUUUUGAACCGCAUGGUUCAAAAGUGAAAGACGGUCUUGCUGUCACUUAUAGAUGGAUCCGCGCUGCAUUAGCUAGUUGGUAAGGUAACGGCUUACCAAGGCAACGAUGCAUAGCCGACCUGAGAGGGUGAUCGGCCACACUGGAACUGAGACACGGUCCAGACUCCUACGGGAGGCAGCAGUAGGGAAUCUUCCGCAAUGGGCGAAAGCCUGACGGAGCAACGUCGCGUGAGUGAUGAAGGUCUUCGGAUCGUAAAACUCUGUUAUUAGGGAAGAACAUAUGUGUAAGUAACUGUGCACAUCUUGACGGUACCUAAUCAGAAAGCCACGGCUAACUACGUG
rnacentral:rRNA from 1 species